AGUGCGGGUGCUAUAAUGCAGUCGAGCGAACGGACGAGAAGCUUGCUUCUCUGAUGUUAGCGGCGGACGGGUGAGUAACACGUGGAUAACCUACCUAUAAGACUGGGAUAACUUCGGGAAACCGGAGCUAAUACCGGAUAAUAUUUUGAACCGCAUGGUUCAAAAGUGAAAGACGGUCUUGCUGUCACUUAUAGAUGGAUCCGCGCUGCAUUAGCUAGUUGGUAAGGUAACGGCUUACCAAGGCAACGAUGCAUAGCCGACCUGAGAGGGUGAUCGGCCACACUGGAACUGAGACACGGUCCAGACUCCUACGGGAGGCAGCAGUAGGGAAUCUUCCGCAAUGGGCGAAAGCCUGACGGAGCAACGCCGCGUGAGUGAUGAAGGUCUUCGGAUCGUAAAACUCUGUUAUUAGGGAAGAACAUAUGUGUAAGUAACUGUGCACAUCUUGACGGUACCUAAUCAGAAAGCCACGGCUAACUACGUGCCAGCAGCCGCGGUAAUACGUAGGUGGCAAGCGUUAUCCGGAAUUAUUGGGCGUAAAGCGCGCGUAGGCGGUUUUUUAAGUCUGAUGUGAAAGCCCACGGCUCAACCGUGGAGGGUCAUUGGAAACUGGAAAACUUGAGUGCAGAAGAGGAAAGUGGAAUUCCAUGUGUAGCGGUGAAAUGCGCAGAGAUAUGGAGGAACACCAGUGGCGAAGGCGACUUUCUGGUCUGUAACUGACGCUGAUGUGCGAAAGCGUGGGGAUCAAACAGGAUUAGAUACCCUGGUAGUCCACGCCGUAAACGAUGAGUGCUAAGUGUUAGGGGGUUUCCGCCCCUUAGUGCUGCAGCUAACGCAUUAAGCACUCCGCCUGGGGAGUACGACCGCAAGGUUGAAACUCAAAGGAAUUGACGGGGACCCGCACAAGCGGUGGAGCAUGUGGUUUAAUUCGAAGCAACGCGAAGAACCUUACCAAAUCUUGACAUCCUUUGACAACUCUAGAGAUAGAGCUUUCCCCUUCGGGGGACAAAGUGACAGGUGGUGCAUGGUUGUCGUCAGCUCGUGUCGUGAGAUGUUGGGUUAAGUCCCGCAACGAGCGCAACCCUUAAGCUUAGUUGCCAUCAUUAAGUUGGGCACUCUAAGUUGACUGCCGGUGACAAACCGGAGGAAGGUGGGGAUGACGUCAAAUCAUCAUGCCCCUUAUGAUUUGGGCUACACACGUGCUACAAUGGACAAUACAAAGGGCAGCGAAACCGCGAGGUCAAGCAAAUCCCAUAAAGUUGUUCUCAGUUCGGAUUGUAGUCUGCAACUCGACUACAUGAAGCUGGAAUCGCUAGUAAUCGUAGAUCAGCAUGCUACGGUGAAUACGUUCCCGGGUCUUGUACACACCGCCCGUCACACCACGAGAGUUUGUAACACCCGAAGCCGGUGGAGUAACCUUUUAGGAGCUAGCCGUCGAAGGUGGGACAAAUGAUUGGGGGAAGUCGAACAAGAGCCUUG
rnacentral:rRNA from 1 species